GUCUGACCCCUACCUUCAAUCUUACCCCCUUAAAUCUGAGCUAGCUACCAACAACUAAGAAGUUGGACAUGGUCAUGAUGAGAGGCAACAAUGUCAAGACCCUGGCGUUGAUACUCGUAGUUGUGGGUCUUGUGGCCAUGGAGCAAACCCAGCAAGUGCAAGCUUCCCAUUGUUGUUGUCAUGUAGACUCGGUCCCUACCUAUUUUGACUGCCGCGCCAAAUCUGAUAGCACCGUCUCAGAGUGCUGCGGUGUUUCUGCUGGCUAUAUAUAUCAGACGACACUGGAUUUGAAUGCAAGUCCGGUUACAUAGAUAUAGAGACGGCCCUACAAGUUGCUAGCGGUAGCGACAAUGCCAUGGGACGAUGCACCGGUGGAUGCCAGGAUCUAUGCAGCAAGAAUAACGCCAAAGUUGCAAGAGUCCGUGACGCUUAACUAGUUAGCCAAGGAGCUGCAUCUCAAAAGCCCGCCAAGGAGUUUUGAUGCUGCCUUCAAUAAUUGGAUAUCACAUCCAGUACGAGUAGAUGACAAAUGUUACUUGUGUUUCAAUUUUAGUACUUCCAAUAAUAUCAUGAGAUGUACAGUGCAUCUUCUGCGAGGAUGUUUAGUGUUCAUCAUGUUAAAUGUUUAUGUUGUGUCCUUGGCGUACCGCAUGAUGACUUCAUGCUUUUAAUGAAAUCUUGUUUAAUUUGCAAAUUAUUAUAGUGUUUCAUUCUUGUGA